rnacentral:rRNA from 1 species
AGUCGAGCGAUGAAGUUCCUUCGGGAACGGAUUAGCGGCGGACGGGUGAGUAACACGUGGGUAACCUGCCUUAUAGAGGGGGAUAGCCUUCCGAAAGGAAGAUUAAUACCGCAUAAAGUUGUUGAUUCGCAUGGAUCGAUAACCAAAGGAGCAAUCCGCUAUAAGAUGGACCCGCGGCGCAUUAGCUAGUUGGUGAGGUAGAAGCUCACCAAGGCGACGAUGCGUAGCCGACCCGAGAGGGUGAUCGGCCACAUUGGGACUGAGACACGGCCCAGACUCCUACGGGAGGCAGCAGUGGGGAAUAUUGCACAAUGGGGGAAACCCUGAUGCAGCAACGCCGCGUGAGUGAUGAAGGCCUUCGGGUUGUAAAGCUCUGUUUUUGGGGACGAUAAUGACGGUACCCAAGGAGGAAGCCACGGCUAACUACGUGCCAGCAGCCGCGGUAAUACGUAGGUGGCAAGCGUUGUCCGGAUUUACUGGGCGUAAAGGGAGCGUAGGCGGAUUUUUAAGUGGGAUGUGAAAUACCCGGGCUCAACUUGGGUGCUGCAUUCCAAACUGGAAGUCUAGAGUGCAGGAGAGGAAAGUGGAAUUCCUAGUGUAGCGGUGAAAUGCGUAGAGAUUAGAAGAACACCAGUGGCGAAGGCGACUUUCUGGACUGUAACUGACGCUGAGCUCGAAAGCGUGGGGAGCAAACAGGAUAGAUACCCUGUAGUCCACGCCGUAAACGAUGGAUACUAGGUGUGGGAGGUAUCAACUCCUUCCGUGCCGCCGUAACACAUUAA